rnacentral:lncRNA from 1 species
GAUAAGAGAGAUUGGAAGAAAGUUCCAAGACAAGAUCUGGCCGAGAAAUGAAUCAUCAAUGUCGCUCUAUUCUCAUACACUUUGUUUCCUCUUCUUUUUUCUUGUAAUUAUCUUCUUCUUUUUUUCGUCUAUUCUUUCUUAUGAUGUUAGGCUGUUGUUACACAUGCAUGGAUAUAUGGACCAUUCAUUCUUUUGUAUCCCGACAAAUGUUGCAUUUCCAUAUUCUGGUAAAGCGACUUAACGAGCACGAUUGAGACUUUUGAGCUCAUUGUUUUUUUUUUUUAUUAGUUUAGCUUAGUUAGCUAUCUUAGUUUAGCUUAUCUCCUAACUUAGUUUAGCUAUCGUCUUCAUUUGUCCCAGCUUAGUUUAGAUAUCUCACAUUCUCUAAUUAAGACUCAGGUCAUUUUUUAUAAUAGUCUGAGCUCUAGGGUUAAUUAGCUUAUCUAGUUAUCUUUGUCAGAUAGGUUUUCAAAUACACCGC